rnacentral:rRNA from 1 species
AUUGAACGCUGGCGGCAGGCUUAACACAUGCAAGUCGAGCGGGGUGAUGGUGCUUGCACUAUCACUUAGCGGCGGACGGGUGAGUAAUGCUUGGGAGUCUGCCUAUUAGUGGGGGACAACAUCUCGAAAGGGAUGAUAAUACCGCAUACGUCGUACGGGAGAAAGCAGGGGAUCACUUGUGACCUCGCGCUAAUAGAUGAGCCUAAGUCGGAUCAGCUAGUUGGUGGGGUAAAGGCCUAGCAAGGCGACGAUCUGUAGGGGGUCUGGAAGGAUGAUCCGCCACACUGGGACUGGGACACGGCCCAGACUCCUACGGGGGGCAGCAGUGGGGAAUAUUGGACAAUGGGGGGAACCCUGAUCCAGCCAUGCCGCGUGUGUGAAGAAGGCCUUAUGGUUGUAAAGCACUUUAAGCGAGGAGGAGGCUCUUUUGGUUAAUACCCAAGAUGAGUGGACGUUACUCGCAGAAUAAGCACCGGCUAACUCUGUGCCAGCAGCCGCCGUAA